GAAGGAUCUUGGGUGCUGUGAUAUUAUGGGCAGUGCACCAAAAAGCCAAAUAUUCCUUUGUACAAUAUUUAUUUUCAAGGACAUGGACAUAAGUGGCUAAGCAAAGGUAGCAAUCAGAUAAUCCUACAAAAUGUAAUUAGAGAGGUGGAAGGGUUUCUUUGGUUUUUCUCAUUUCUUACUUUGUUCUCUGUUAGUGGUGUGCCAUAAACCCCCAAAAGGGAGUUGAAGUAUGAUCCUAUUAUAUUAAAGUAGCAAGUGAAGCAAAUGAGGAGAGAAGAAGGAAAGUUGAUGUAUUAUUUUUGUAGCCUUUGUUUUCACUUUCUUUUGUUGUCUUAAUACUGCCAAUUGUGGAAGAAAGCCAUUUGGGAAGUAUUUGUGGUGAAAGAGAUUUAGUGGUUUGACUAAAGUUACAAUUAGUUAGUGGCUGAGUUACCACUAAUAGCUAACUAUUAAACUUCAUUAGCAUUCCAGUUGAUGAGGAGGAAAAUAAAUCAGAAGGUAAAUAAAAGUAAUCAUAAAAGGGAUCAGAGGCAAAGAAUAUUCUUAUGAUCCAUUAGAUAAAUGCCCUAUAUCUAUCUACUCCUUCAUCUCUAGAGAAUCAAUAUCUUUGUCACUACAGAAUACAAAAUCCACCCCUUAGAAUGCUUUGUGUAGUCUACUCGG
rnacentral:lncRNA from 1 species